GUACACUCCUACGGGAGGCAGCAGUGGGGAAUUUUGGACAAUGGGCGCAAGCCUGAUCCAGCCAUGCCGCGUGCGGGAAGAAGGCCUUCGGGUUGUAAACCGCGUUUGUCAGGGAAGAAAAGGUUCUGGCUAAUACCUGGGACUCAUGACGGUACCUGAAGAAUAAGAACCGGCUAACUACGUGCCAGCAGCCGCGGUAAUACGUAGGGUGCAAGCGUUAAUCGGAAUUACUGGGCGUAAAGCGUGCGCAGGCGGUUAUGCAAGACAGAGGUGAAAUCCCCGGGCUCAACCUGGGAACUGCCUUUGUGACUGCAUGGCUAGAGUACGGUAGAGGGGGAUGGAAUUCCGCGUGUAUCAGUGAAAUGCGUAUAUAUGCGGGGGAACACCGAUGGCGAAGGCAAUCCCCUGGACCUGUACUGACGCUCAUGCACGAAAGCGUGGGGAGCAAACAGGAUUAGAAACCCUGGUAGUGCCAU
rnacentral:rRNA from 1 species